rnacentral:rRNA from 1 species
AUUGAACGCUGGCGGCAUGCCUAAUACAUGCAAGUCGAGCGUGCGACGGACGGGUGCGGAAGGUAGAGGGACUGCCCGUUAGAGGGGGAUAACUACGGGAAACGGUAGCUAAUACCGCAUACGAUCGGAUGACCCAUAUGGGAUUAGCUAGUAGGUGGGGUAAUGGCUCACCUAGGCGACGAUCCCUAGCUGGUCUGAGAGGAUGAUCAGCCACACUGGGACUGAGACACGGCCCAGACUCCUACGGAGGCAGCAGUGGGGAAUAUUGCACAAUGGGCGCAAGCCUGAUGCAGCCAUGCCGCGUGUAUGAAGAAGGCCCUAGGGUUGUAAAGUACUUUCAGUCGGGAGGCGUUACCGGCAGAAGAAGCACCGGCUAACUCCGUGCCAGCCGCCGCGGUAAUUC